rnacentral:rRNA from 1 species
GUGCCUAAUACAUGCAAGUCGAGCGAGCUUGCCUAGAUGAUUUUAGUGCUUGCACUAAAUGAAACUAGAUACAAGCGAGCGGCGGACGGGUGAGUAACACGUGGGUAACCUGCCCAAGAGACUGGGAUAACACCUGGAAACAGAUGCUAAUACCGGAUAACAACACUAGACGCAUGUCUAGAGUUUGAAAGAUGGUUCUGCUAUCACUCUUGGAUGGACCUGCGGUGCAUUAGCUAGUUGGUAAGGUAACGGCUUACCAAGGCAAUGAUGCAUAGCCGAGUUGAGAGACUGAUCGGCCACAUUGGGACUGAGACACGGCCCAAACUCCUACGGGAGGCAGCAGUAGGGAAUCUUCCACAAUGGACGAAAGUCUGAUGGAGCAACGCCGCGUGAGUGAAGAAGGGUUUCGGCUCGUAAAGCUCUGUUGGUAGUGAAGAAAGAUAGAGGUAGUAACUGGCCUUUAUUUGACGGUAAUUACUUAGAAAGUCACGGCUAACUACGUGCCAGCAGCCGCGGUAAUACGUAGGUGGCAAGCGUUGUCCGGAUUUAUUGGGCGUAAAGCGAGUGCAGGCGGUUCAAUAAGUCUGAUGUGAAAGCCUUCCGGCUCA